rnacentral:tmRNA from 1 species
GGGGAUGCGUGGUCUCGACGGGGCCCCGCAGCCCGGGAACGCGAGCCGAGGUGCCGCCAGGCCUCGCUAAACAGGCGGCAAACCGAAGUACCUGCCAACAAGCAGCCUGCUCUCGCCCUCGCCGCUUAGGCGGUAAGGUGAGCGUGGAAGCGGCCUCCCCUCCGCGGGCCGUGGAAGCGUCAUGCAGCGGAGGUGCAGCCCCGGCGAGCGCGGCGUAGCCGGGAGCGAAGCCCGAUCUAGGGACACGCAGCUGGGUCGGUCGUCGCCCCUGCCGAUGGGGGUGGGCCGGCCGAGAUCAAGCAUCGGACACGCUCGUAGUGGGUCCGGGUCACGGGUUUCGGACGGGGAGUUCGACUCUCCCCCAUCUCCACCA